rnacentral:rRNA from 1 species
GACGAACGCUGGCGGCGUGCUUAACACAUGCAAGUCGAACGGGAGUAUUGAAGAAGCUUGCUUUAGAGAUACUUUAGUGGCGGACGGGUGAGUAACGCGUGAGGAGCUGUCCUAUGCAGGGGGACAACAGCUGGAAACGGCUGCUAAUACCCCAUAAGCCGAGAGGUAAAAGGAUCAAUCCGGCAGAGGAGGUACUCGCGUCCUAUCAGCUAGUAGGUGAGGUAACGGCUCACCUAGGCGAAGACGGGUAGCCGGCCUGAGAGGGCGAACGGCCACACUGGAACUGAGAUACGGUCCAGACUCCUACGGGAGGCAGCAGUGGGGAAUAUUGCACAAUGGGGGAAACCCUGAUGCAGCAACGCCGCGUGGAGGAAGAAGGUUUUCGGAUUGUAAACUCCUGUCUUUUGGGACGAUAAUGACGGUACCAAAAGAGGAAGCCACGGCUAACUACGUG